UACGUAGGGUCCGAGCGUUGUCCGGAAUUACUGGGCGUAAAGGGCUCGUAGGCGGCCAACUAAGUCGGAUGUGAAAUCCCCAGGCUCAACUUGGGAACUGCAUCCGAUACUGGAUGGCUUGAAUUCGGGAGAGGGAUGCAGAAUUCCAGGUGUAGCGGUGAAAUGCGUAGAUAUCUGGAGGAAUACCGGUGGCGAAGGCGGCAUCCUGGACCGACAUUGACGCUGAGGAGCGAAAGCCAGGGGAGCAAACGGG
rnacentral:rRNA from 1 species